rnacentral:rRNA from 1 species
CAUCUUAGUACCUGCAGGAAGAGAAAAUAAAUGAAUGAUUCCCCCAGUAGUGGCGAGCGAACGGGGAACAGCCCAAACCGUUGACGUCGCAAGGCGCCAGCGGGGUUGUAGGACCGCGACAUUGUAUGCAAAUCGUGAACAGAACACUUUGGAAAAUGUGACCAUAGAUGGUGAUAGUCCAGUAUGUGAAGCGAAAUGCAGCAUAGCGGUAUCCUGAGUAACGCGGGACACGAGGAAUCCUGCGCGAAUCUGCCGGGACCAUCCGGUAAGGCUAAAUACUCCCGUGAGACCGAUAGCGAACGAGUACUGUGAAGGAAAGGUGAAAAGAACCCCGAGCAGGGGAGUGAAAUAGUUCCUGAAACCAUACGCCUACAAGCGGUCGGAGCAUCUUACGAUGUGACGGCGUGCCUUUUGCAUAAUGAUCCUACGAGUUACCGUCACUGGCGAGGUUGAGUGUCACGAGACACGUAGCCGCAGUGAAAGCGAGCCUGAACAGGGCGCAUAGUCAGUGGGGGUAGACGCGAAACCAAGUGAUCUACACUUGGCCAGGAUGAAGUCCCGGUAACACGGGAUGGAGGUCCGCACCAAUAAGCGUUGAAAAGCUUCUGGAUGAGCCGAGUGUAGGAGUGAAAGGCCAAUCAAACUUGGAGAUAGCUCGUACUCCCCGAAAGGCAUUUAGGUGCCGCGUCGGAUGGUCACCGUGAGAGGUAGAGCGACCGAUAGGACAAGAGGGCUUCACCGCCUAUCGAGUCCUGACGAACUCCGAAUGCUCACGGUCUGCAGUCCGGCAGUAAGGGGGCGGGUGCUAAGGUCCGUCCCCGAGAGGAGAAGAAUCCAGACCGCCGUCUAAGGUCCCGGAGUUCUGCCUGAGUUAGUCUAACGAAGUCUGGUCCCUAUGACAGCUAGGAUGUUGGCUUGGAAGCAGCCAUUCAUUCAAAGAGUGCGUAACAGCUCACUAGUCGAGGGUCCGGGCAUGGAUAAUAAUCGGGUAUAAGGCAGACACCGAAGGCGCGGGAUAGCAUUUAAGAAAGUAUCGGUAGGGGAGCAUACUCACAGCGUCGAAUGGUGUACGUAAGUUAUCCUGGAGCGGUGAGUAAAGCAAAUGUAGGAAUAAGUAACGAUAAGGAGGGUUAGAUUCCCUCCCGCUGUAAGACCAAGGUUUCCCGGGCAAUGCCAAUCAGCCCGGGGUCAGUCGGGUCCUAAGUCUAAGCCGAACGGCGAUGGCGAUGGCAGAGACGGUUAAUAUUCCGUCACUGCCGCAUGGGGCGACGUGGAGACGGAGCAGUGAAACCACCGCGGGGCGACGGAAGUCCCCGUUGAAGAGUGUAGGUGUUGAGGAUGGCAGGCAAAUCCACCGUCCGAGCUGAACUUGACAGUAUGGAGUCUUCUUCGGAAGAAUCCAAUAGUGUGGGUAAUCAUACUCCCGAGAAAAUCCGCUAAGCUUAACCCAUGCGGCACCCGUACCGCAAACGGACACACGUGGUCGGGUAGAACAUACUAAGGCGUUGAGAGAUUCAUGGUUAAGGAACUAGGCAAAUUGACCCUGUAACUUCGGGAUAAAGGGUCCUCGUGAAGAGCGAGGCGCAGAGAAUAGGUCCAGGCAACUGUUUAACAAAAACACAGGGCUGUGCAAACUCGAAAGAUGACGUAUACAGCCUGACACCUGCCCGGUGCCGGAAGGUUAAGAGGAGAUGUCACUCGCAAGAGGAAGCAUUGAAUUGAAGCCCCGGUAAACGGCGGCCGUAACUAUAACGGUCCUAAGGUAGCGAAAUUCCUUGUCGGGUAAGUUCCGACCUGCACGAAUG